AUAAUUUUACAUAAUGGGUUAUAUUAAUUUAAUAAAUUUAAUAUAUAUAUCGCUAUUCCGCGUGUGGCCUUUCCCUACUCUGUUGCUUGCUUUGAGCCAG